rnacentral:ncRNA from 1 species
AUUCGCUCAGGGCAAACCUGUUGAAAGGCAGGGACGCAAAGCCAAGGGUCUAACACUGCAAAGCAGUCAUGACAGCCGGUUGCCGAA